AUAUGCACUAAGAUAAACCCACAUCAAUCCCCAUAACAAGCCUUAUGAAUAUCAUAACAAACCUACUAUGAUUUUUGACAGGAUAUUGACUAGGCAUGAAGGAAGGCAUAUGUAGUGUUCAGAAUAUUGAGCAACUUUUAUUCAAAAUUCGAACUAAUUCAAUUGAUCAGAAAAGUGUUAAGAUUGAUGGGGGUCCCUCCGUUGCUUUUUUUAGAUAUCAAUAAAAUUGAUCAGGCC
rnacentral:lncRNA from 1 species